AGGCUCCCGAGUGGUUCCUCGGGGUGCCCGAGGGAAUGGUGAUGGAGUGGCUGUGACUGAUGGGUGCCUCUUUUUGAAGCAGAGGGAUCCCAUGGUUGCUGUGAGAUCGUCUCAAACAUCCUUCGACAAGCCAGAAAGGGAAAGGAAGAGAUGCUGAGAGGCAGCAGCACUGCAGUAAGAAAUGAGCAGGUAUCAGUAUGCCAUACCCAGCAGUGCCACUGCUGCAGGACAGAAAGAAGCUUUUGGUUACCUG
ensembl:lncRNA